GCGGAUAUGGCGGAAUGGCAGACGCACAAGACUCAAAAUCUUGCGAGGGUGACUUCGUGUGGGUUCAAGUCCCACUAUCCGCAGCA
rnacentral:tRNA from 1 species